AAUCAACGCUGGCGGCGUGCCUAACACAUGCAAGUCGAACGCGAAAGUCCCUUCGGGGAUGAGUAGAGUGGCGUCCGGGUGAGUAACGCGUGGGCAAUCUACCCUUGGGUGGGAAUAACCAGUCGAAAGAUUGGCUAAUACCGCAUAAUGCAGCGGCUCGACAUCGAGACAGUUGUUAAAGCAGCAAUGCGCCUAAGGAGGAGCCUGCGUCUGAUUAGCNGUUGGUGAGGUAAUGGCUCACCAAGGCUGCGAUCAGUAGCUGGUCUGAGAGGACGGCCAGCCACAAUGGCACUGAAACACGGGCCAUACUCCUACGGGAGGCAGCAGU
rnacentral:rRNA from 1 species